rnacentral:lncRNA from 1 species
ACCUCCCUCCCCACUAUCCUGUCUUCCCUCAACUACCUCCACUUCCCCCUUUUAAAGGGUAAUUCCCUCAACCCCCUGAGGGUAUACGUACUACAACAUCAGAUAACCAGAGAGAAAAAUUAACAGAGAGAACACUAUAAAAAACAGAGAGAACAACCAGAAAAAAAAGACAAAAAGCAAAUAUAAAGAAGAAGAUAAAGAGGAGAAAGAGUCGUGAUUCAAGUUUCAGGG